CAAUUUCACCUUUGUACUUUCCAUGACAAUUUAAGUCAUGACAACUGAGUGAGAUAAAAUCUGUAAAAAGCUUUGCACAAUGUGUGGCACAUUUAAUGUGUUCCUUAUUUAGUGUAGGAAAUGCAUUCUGUGAACUGGAGAUAUAGCCAAAUCUGUGCAGGAAAGGGAUAUUAUCUGAUUGGAUUUCAUAGAGAUAUGUUCCUGAAAUCCCAACUUAUUACAUAUUACUAAGAAGUAUGGGUUUACUUAAACUAUAGUGUAAAUAAACUUGGAUUAAUAGAAAUAUAUAUUAUAAAAGGCAUACUAAUUUUAAAAAUUAAAUUUGAAAAGUUACAUGCUUAUUUGGGAACUGAUGGCUUGAACAUAACCAGUGUGGCCCCCAUGAGAGCAAGUAUUGGUUGUCAUUUACUGAUAAUCUCAAGGCAUAACUUAGACUCCACCAAAGCGUGGCCCCCAGCAAGGGUGCGAAACUGUCCUUGGGGUCUUUACACACUAAUGCGUGGUUCUUUCUGCCAAUAAAGGACUUGGUGGCACAUACUUCCAAUAAAAGGCAGGUUACCCACAAUGCAGGUAAGCCGGGAGGGUGGAUACCAGGCUCAGGAGUAACUGGAGUGCUGGGGCAUCCAAACACAGCUUGCUGGUCAGCACUGCUGUCUGUCUCCCCUUUUACACUGUGAAGCUGCUGCAGUGUGUCUGUCUGUCAAGACAGCCAGUUCUGGCUCCAGAGAGAGAUUUUUGUUCAUGGGCCUUUUGUUGUUGUUGUUGUUGUUCUUGGAGGUGGUUGAAGAGUUCCUCUGAUUUCUCUCAGAUAAAGAGCUGCCGACAUUGCUUUACAGCUGCACUGGUGGCCGCCAUUGCUAGGUCUAGAGAAUGAUUUCGUGCCUUUUACCACCCAGCUUGAUCCUCUCUGCUGUGUUUCUUUGAGACAGAUUCAGGCCCUUAACUUACACAGCUUUGUUUGGUUUUUUCCUGCCAGUCAUCAUGGGCUAAAGUGAUUUUCGCAGCAGCGUAGCACAUUGGUUAAGACUCUGGAGACUGACUGCCAAGGUGGGAACAGCAGCUCUUCCAUUUACGACACCUGUGGCUGCAGGCAAUUACGUAACCUCUUUGAAACUCAGUAUUCUCACCUUUUCAUAGUUCUGGAGGCUAGGAAGUCUGAGAUAGAGGCACUGGCAAGUUCCCUUGUCUGAUGAGAGCUGCUUUCCAAGAUGGUACCUUGAUGCUCUGUCCUCCAGAGGGGAGAAAUGCUGAGCCCCUACACGGUAGAAGGUGGAAAGGCAAGGGGGCUGAAUGCUGUAUGAAGCCUCUUUUAUAAAGGCCUUAAUUCCAUCACAAGGGAGAAGCCCUCAU
rnacentral:lncRNA from 1 species